rnacentral:rRNA from 1 species
AGCGAACGCUGGCGGCAGGCCUAACACAUGCAAGUCGAACGAAGCCUUCGGGCUUAGUGGCGGACGGGUGAGUAACACGUGGGAACGUACCUUUUGGUUCGGAACAACUCAGGGAAACUUGAGCUAAUACCGGAUGAGCCCUUAGGGGGAAAGAUUUAUCGCCGAAAGAGCGGCCCGCGUUAGAUUAGCUAGUUGGUGAGGUAAAGGCUCACCAAGGCAACGACCUAUAGCUGGUCUGAGAGGAUGAUCAGCCACACUGGGACUGAGACACGGCCCAGAAUCCUACGGGAGGCAGCAGUGGGGAAUCUUGCGCAAUGGGCGAAAGCCUGACGCAGCCAUGCCGCGUGAAUGACGAAGGUCUUAGGAUUGUAAAAUUCUUUUACCAGGGACGAUAAUGACGGUACCUGGAGAAAAAGCCCCGGCUAACUUCGUGCCAGCCGCCGCCGUAACAC